rnacentral:rRNA from 1 species
UACGAAGGGAGCUAGCGUUGUUCGGAAUCACUGGGCGUAAAGCGCACGUAGGUGGGUGAUUAAGUUAGGGGUGAAAGCCCGAGGCUCAACCUCGGAAUUGCCUCUAAUACUGGUCAUCUAGAGUCCGAGAGAGGUGGGUGGAAUUCCUAGUGUAGAGGUGAAAUUCGCAGAUAUUAGGAAGAACACCGGUGGCGAAGGCGGCCCACUGGCUCGGUACUGACACUGAGGUGCGAAAGCGUGGGGAGCAAACAGG